CUAUGGGGAUGAUUUUAAGAAUUGAGCUGUCUCUGAUAGAGUAGUGGAGGAAACACAGAAAUUCUUAGUAGC